AGCAGCCGCGGUAAUUCCAGCUCCAAUAGCGUAUAUUAAAGUUGUUGCAGUUAAAAAGCUCGUAGUUGAAUUUCGGGAUCAAUUAAUUGGUCGUGCCUCUGGUACGUACUGAUUUUAUUGGUUUCUCCCUUCUGACGAACCAUGAUGUCAUUAAUUUGGUGUCGUGGAGAAUCAGGACUGUUACUUUGAAAAAAUUAGAGUGUUUAAAGCAAGCUAACGCUUGAAUACAUUAGCAUGGAAUAAUGAAAUAGGACGUUUGAUCCUAUUUUGUUGGUUUUCUAGGAUCGACGUAAUGAUUAAUAGGGAUAGUUGGGGGCAUUAGUAUUCAAUUGUCAGAGGUGAAAUUCUUGGAUUUAUUGAAGACUAACUACUGCGAAAGCAUUUGCCAAGGAUGUUUUCAUUAAUCAAGAACGAAAGUUAGGGGAUCGAAGACGAUCAGAUACCGUCGUAGUCUUAACCAUAAACUAUGCCGACUAGGGAUCGGAUGAU
rnacentral:misc_RNA from 1 species